rnacentral:hammerhead_ribozyme from 1 species
GCACUACAGAAGAGUCUCACGAUAGGACGAAACGGCCGUCCAGUGU